UCCGAGUUGACCCCGGCAGUCUCCCACGAGUCCCCGGCAUAACCCGCUGGCAACAUGGGAUAAGGGUUGCGCUCGUUGCGGGACUUAACCCAACAUCUCACGACACGAGCUGACGACAGCCAUGCAGCACCUCUACACAGACCUCCGAAGAGGGGCUCUCAUCUCUGAGACUUUCCUGUGCAGUUCAAACCCAGGUAAGGUUCUGCGCGUUGCUUCGAAUUAAACCACAUACUCCACCGCUUGUGCGGGCCCCCGUCAAUUCCUUUGAGUUUCGACCUUGCGGCCGUACUCCCCAGGCGGUGUGCUUAUCGCGUUAGCUUCGGCACUGAAGGGGUUAAUACCUCCAACACCCAGCACACAUCGUUUACGGCGUGGACUAC
rnacentral:misc_RNA from 1 species